rnacentral:misc_RNA from 1 species
AAGACUAUAGACCUGCGGAGUACCUGCGGAGGGAUCAUUAACGAGUUAGGGUGUCCCCUCGCGGCGCCCGACCUCCCAACCCUUUGCUUAAAACACCCUGUGUUGCUUCGGCGGGUCCGUCCUUCUCACCGGAGGACCGCCGGGGGACCGUGAAACGUCCCCUGGCCCGUCUACCCGCCGGCGGCCAAUACCUAAACUCUGAACACUAAACGUGCCUUUAACUGUCUGAGUUACACAUGA